UGCAAUUCUCCGUGUCAGCAUCCUGGAGGUCACAGCAGUGAGCUGCUGGAGAGGUGUCUGGUGCCAAGCCCACGUGUGAGGGAAGGAGAUGGCCACACACAGGAAGGGGCGCUGCUCGCAGCACGCUCCGCUCCGGCAGCUGCCUGGCCAUCACUUACCCACUUCUACCUGCUCCUUUGCAACUGUUUUGGCAGCUCAGCAAAAGCAGGGAGCAAAUCUUUUGGGCAAAGCAUAACGGGUGCUGAGCUUGGAUUGUUUCUGGCCCAUCUGUGCGUGUGGAAGCAGGUCCCACCCUGCUCCUCAGGGAGAGAUGUUCACCAGCCACCACACAAAAUAUGAGACCCUCAACGGGAGACUCUUCCACAGACCAAAGCUUUUCUCCAAUUUAAAGACAGCUUUGCUGGAGAAGUCAAGAUCAGCUGGAAUGUCUCCCACAACAGAGCCAGAAGAAGGAAUGUCCAACCAGGGCAAAGCAGCUCAGGGGCAGCAGGGAUGUGCUUUGUGCUGGCACCCCUGGUUCGAGCUGAGCUACAGCCACAGGGGAAGUGCACUGAGCUGCCUUCGUUGAGACAAGGAGGCAGUGACCAGGAAUUCAUUCAUCUUUAGCAGCAAUGCAGCAACAAUCAUCUCCACAUCUCAAAACUCACCACAAAUGCAGAAAAAUCCAUCCCCUGCAUGUGGGUACC